UGCCAACGUUAUUGCCAUUGUUACAUGACAUCACACCAUUGUUUGGGGGGGAGAGGACAGGAGGGCAAGUGGAAGCUGAAAGUUUUAAUCAAUCUCUGAAAAAGCCUGUGUUGGUUUUUAAAUGCAAUCCACCACAGUGAAAUACCUUGGCAUAUGGGGGGAGGUUGGUCCCACACAGCUGAGAUAUCACCAUUAUUAUCAUCCACACAUGUAGAUGUGGGGGGGCCUUGUAACAUGAAACCAGGAUUGCAUGUGAAGCUGGAAUAUAAGGACUUCCGAUCAUGUUUCCAUCGGUACAAACGACAUCUCCAUUCAUUGGAUCCGUGUGUGGAGGGGAGCAACUCAUUCUCAUACAUACUGGCGCAGGAUCGCUCCAUUUCCUGUCAUUUCCUAAACAACACAGCACCAAUGUUGAUCCUACUUACCACAUGUAAGUUGUUGUUGUCCGAUCAAUGCAAAUCCAGGAUUACAAAUAUACGAGCAGACGCUUCCAACUAAGAAUGAUCGAGUGCAAGUGAACCUACCAUCUUGUGGUUGACGCAGGACAGGUCGGCACAACGUUGCUGUAUUUAAAAGUGUUGGGUUAUUGUAUGCUGGCCCAUCAUUACCACUGCUGCUCAAACAAACUGAAGAUGAAGUUCCAAUAAGUUGGAAACCUGCAAUGAAGAAAGUUGAGUUAAACAGAAGAUUUGAAUAAAGAGUUUUAUUUGGAUUGUCCAGCACUAACCUUCAGUUGUCGCUACAAACACGAUGCCGAGAACAAGAAACUUCAUUUCAUUCGUCGAUUACUUCUUCAAGUGAUGCCAAUCCUUGAGAGCGACCAUUUUUAUAAGGAGCUCGGAACCAGAUAUUCGCCACUUCUGAUAAGUGAUGGCUGCAUGAUGUGACCCACCACGACAUGCAAGAAGUGGAAGUUCUAUGUUGCUCGUUUCGCUCAGAACAAUAUGGGCUCAGAGAGUGGAAAAAUAGGCAAAGAUAAAGUUCAUGUUGAUUGAUUUUGGCAACUUAAAACUUUGGCGUUACGAAAAUAUAACCGAAGAUGACGCUUCCGAAUUCGAAUAUUCCAGCAAAAUAAACUUCUAACAACAUGGAUGUUUCAUAUUGGUUGCAUAUUGGAAAAAAAUUGUUGUGUAAACUAAUUUUUCAUCAAAUUUAAAUUUUAUAUUUCUCAAAACAAGUAAUUGUACUGUUAUGAAGUAGACGUUGUUUCAAAAAUUUAUUUUUUUUAAUAAAAUUUAAAUUUUAUAUUGCUCAAA